GGUUACCUCACCAUGUGAUUCAGCCAUCUUCCGGAGCGGAGGUCUUGGUGGGACAUGCUUUGUUUUGUUUUGUUUUUGGUACUGGGAAUCGAACUCAGGAGCUUGUGGUUGUGAGGCAGGCGUGGUGCCACUGAGCUAAAUCCCCGGCCCCUGGGACGUUCUUGAUACAGUUGUAGGUUCUGGGAUUACAAUGUGGACAUUUCAGUGGAGCCCAUUUUUCCACCAACCAUGUACCCAGAUAGGUACCUUCAGCACACACAUAUGAUUUUAGGAGCAUAUGGGAAUGUAAAGUCACCAAACCAAGAGGAAAGUAACGAUGAGCUGAAAUAAUUAAAUAUGGCCAGGACUUCCACUCUGGGCUCUAACAAUCUUUACUACAAGCCAUCUUCAACAGCAAUAAGAAACUCUGAACAAGGAUUGAGUCUCAGUUUGAAAAGUCUGCGAAAGAAACUGGAGACACUUAGGAGUCUCUCAAACACUGCAGUAACAUUUACCAUGGACUUGCUGAGUUCCUGCCACUUCAGUGUAUUUUUCCAGGUAUUGCAAUGACCACUUUUAAUCCCAACACUUGGGAAACUGGGCCACAGGGCAUGAACUGAGAUCAGUCUGGGUUACAUAGUGAGGAAGGUCAACCUGGACUACACAUUCUGAGACCUUGUCUGAAAAAGU
ensembl:lncRNA